GCAGUGGUGGUUCACUGGUAGAAGUAUUGACUUCCAUGCAGGAGACCCAGGUUCGAUUCCUGGCCAAUGUA
rnacentral:tRNA from 1 species